rnacentral:rRNA from 1 species
GACGUAGGGCGCGAGCGUUGUCCGGAUUUAUUGGGCGUAAAGAGCUCGUAGGUGGUUUGUCGCGUUGUUCGUGAAAACUCACAGCUCAACUGUGGGCGUGCGGGCGAUACGGGCAGACUGGAGUACUGCAGGGGAGACUGGAAUUCCUGGUGUAGCGGUGGAAUGCGCAGAUAUCAGGAGGAACACCGGUGGCGAAGGCGGGUCUCUGGGCAGUAACUGACGCUGGAGGAGCGAAAGCGUGGGGAGCGAACAGG